rnacentral:lncRNA from 1 species
GGGGGAUGAAGGACGCCACCGAGGAAGCAGACCCCACCGGGCUCCCGAGGCUGCCAGGCCCCCCGCUCAGGGCGCUGCCUGCAGAACCACGCCCCCCUGUCCCUGUGCUAAGAGGGUGACGCGAGUGCCCGAAGCCCUGGCCUGGUUACCAUUCGCGACUCCCUCGUCCUGGGUUCUCCCAUUGCCAGGAAUGUUUUACUAGUAACCAUGGUAUAGUUGAGACGAUCCACUCUUGUCCUACGCAUUUCGGCACAAUACAGGCGUCUAGGAGGCUUACCUGGCAUUGCCUGAGAGAAUCUUCCAUCCAUUUAAGUACCCAGUAACAGAGGGAGCAAAGCAAAUCUUAUCCUCAAAGAACUGCAGCUGCUUGUUAGAUCUACCUGGUGGUUCCAUAGAGAAACUGCUCAGAGAACCUGCCUUUACCUCGCCUAAAACAGAACUAUCCCGGAGCUCAGUUCAUCAACUCAGGAUCCAGUAGUGUAAUACAGAAGCCUGUUACGAGAUAUAAGGCACUUUGCCCUCGGAAAUCUCACUGUCGGAAUCCUUGGAAAUCACACCACGCACAACUUCUAUUUCUUCAUAAUUUGCAAAGAACCAGUGUGACUCCAGUCAAGAACAAAAGAUUAAUUGUGAAUUAGCGAAGAACUCUAAUUUUUUCAAGCAGCCACAUGGAAAACGCAUUCUAAUGAAAUCCUUUCCAUUGCUCUUUUUUCUUAGUUCUUCAAUAAAGCAUGCGAUUUGAUCACAAA